rnacentral:rRNA from 1 species
GGUCAAGUGAAUAAGUGCAUGUGGUGGAUGCCUUGGCGAUUACAGGCGAUGAAGGACGUUGUAGCGUGCGAAAAGCUUCGGUUAGCCCGCAAACAGGCUUUGAUCCGGAGAUGUCCGAAUGGGGAAACCCGGCCCGCGAGGGUCAUCCCUGGCUGAAUACAUAGGCCAGAGGAGGCGAACGCAGCGAACUGAAACAUCUAAGUAGCUGCAGGAACAGAAAUCAACCGAGAUUCCCCCAGUAGUGGCGAGCGAAAGGGGACCAGCCUGCAAGAGAUAACGCUUAUGUUAGUGGAACGACCUGGAAAGGUUGGCCGUAGAGGGUGAUAGCCCCGUACGCGAAAACAUAGGCGCGAGACUGAGCUUGCGACAAGUAGGGCGGGGCACGUGAAACCCUGUCUGAACAUGGGGGGACCAUCCUCCAAGGCUAAAUACUCGUAAUCGACCGAUAGUGAACCAGUACCGUGAGGGAAAGGCGAAAAGAACCCCGGGAGGGGAGUGAAAUAGAUCCUGAAACCGCAUGCAUACAAACAGUGGGAGCGGACUUGUUCCGUGACUGCGUACCUUUUGUAUAAUGGGUCAGCGACUUACGUUCAGUAGCGAGCUUAACCGAAUAGGGGAGGCGCAGCGAAAGCGAGUCUGAAUAGGGCGAUUCAGUUGCUGGGCGUAGACCCGAAACCAGAUGAUCUACCCAUGGCCAGGAUGAAGGUGGGGUAACACCCACUGGAGGUCCGAACCCACUAGUGUUGAAAAACUAGGGGAUGAGCUGUGGGUAGGGGUGAAAGGCUAAACAAAUCUGGAAAUAGCUGGUUCUCCCCGAAAACUAUUUAGGUAGUGCCUCAUAUGGACACUUCCGGGGGUAGAGCACUGUAAUGGUUGGUGGGGUCGUUUAGAUCUACGCCGCCAUAGCAAACUCCGAAUACCGGAAAGUGAUGUAUGGGAGACAGACGGUGGGUGCUAACGUUCAUCGUCAAGAGGGAAACAACCCAGACCGCCAGCUAAGGUCCCCAAGCCAUGGUUAAGUGGAAAACGAGGUGGGAAGGCACAGACAGCCAGGAGGUUGGCUUAGAAGCAGCCAUCCUUUAAAGAAAGCGUAAUAGCUCACUGGUCGAGUCGUCCUGCGCGGAAGAUGUAACGGGGCUCAAACCAUGCACCGAAGCUGCGGAUGUGUGCGUUCCACUUUAGUUCAUUCGAAGUUGAAAGCUUGACCGCGCGAAGCGCGGGCAAAGCGCCCCCUCAGUACGAGUCGAGGGGCGAGUGAGUUAAAGGGAACGCACAUAUGGUAGGGGAGCGUUCUGUAGGUCUGUGAAGGUGUCCCGGGAGGGAUGCUGGAGAUAUCAGAAGUGCGAAUGCUGACAUGAGUAGCGAUAAAGCGUGUGAAAAGCACGCUCGCCGAAAGCCCAAGGUUUCCUGCGCAACGUUCAUCGGCGCAGGGUGAGUCGGCCCCUAAGGCGAGGCCGAAAGGCGUAGUCGAUGGGAAACGGGUCAAUAUUCCCGUACCGAUCUGUAAUGCGAUGGGGGGACGGAGAAGGUUAGCUCGGCCGGGUGUUGGACGUCCCGGUUUAAGCGUGUAGGCGUGCUGCAUAGGCAAAUCCGUGCGGCUUAGUCGAGGCGUGAUGACGAGGGUCCAUUGGACCUGAAGUGAGUGAUACCCUGCUUCCAGGAAAAGCCUCUAAGCUUCAGUUACAGAUUGACCGUACCGCAAACCGACACAGGUGGGCAGGAUGAAAAUUCUAAGGCGCUUGAGAGAACCCAGGAGAAGGAACUCGGCAAAUUGACACCGUAACUUCGGGAUAAGGUGUGCCCUGGUAGGUUGUAGCGCCUUGCGCGUGAAGGCCGAAGGGGUUGCAAAGAAUCGGUGGCUGCGACUGUUUAACAAAAACACAGCACUCUGCAAAGACGAAAGUCGACGUAUAGGGUGUGACGCCUGCCCGGUGCCGGAAGGUUAAGUGAUGGGGUGCAAGCUCUUGAUCGAAGCCCCGGUAAACGGCGGCCGUAACUAUAACGGUCCUAAGGUAGCGAAAUUCCUUGUCGGGUAAGUUCCGACCUGCACGAAUGGCGUAACGAUGGCCACACUGUCUCCUCUUGGGACUCAGCGAAGUUGAAGUGUUUGUGAAGAUGCAAUCUCCCCGCGGCUAGACGGAAAGACCCCAUGAACCUUUACUGUAGCUUUGCAUUGGACUUUGACGGGACUUGUGUAGGAUAGGUGGGAGGCUGUGAGGCGUGGUCGCCAGAUCGCGCGGAGCCAACCUUGAAAUACCACCCUGGUGUCGUUGAGGUUCUAACCUUGGACCGUGAAUCCGGUUCGGGGACCGUGCAUGGCAGGCAGUUUGACUGGGGCGGUCUCCUCCCAAAGGGUAACGGAGGAGUACGAAGGUCUUCUAGGUACGGUCGGACAUCGUACUGAUAGUGCAAUGGCAAAAGAAGGCUUGACUGCGAGACCCACAAGUCGAGCAGGUGCGAAAGCAGGUCAUAGUGAUCCGGUGGUUCUGUAUGGAAGGGCCAUCGCUCAACGGAUAAAAGGUACUCUGGGGAUAACAGGCUGAUUCCGCCCAAGAGUUCAUAUCGACGGCGGAGUUUGGCACCUCGAUGUCGGCUCAUCACAUCCUGGGGCUGUAGUCGGUCCCAAGGGUAUGGCUGUUCGCCAUUUAAAGUGGUACGUGAGCUGGGUUCAAAACGUCGUGAGACAGUUUGGUCCCUAUCUGCCGUGGGCGCUGGAGAUUUGACGGGGGCUGCUCCUAGUACGAGAGGACCGGAGUGGACGUACCUCUGGUGGACCGGUUGUGACGCCAGUCGCAUUGCCGGGUAGCUAAGUGCGGAAGAGAUAAACGCUGAAAGCAUCUAAGCGUGAAACUUGCCUGAAGAUGAGAUCUCCCGGGGGCUCGACCCCCCUGAAGGGUCGUCCUAGACCAGGACGUUGAUAGGCUGGGUGUGGAAGCGCAGCAAUGCGUUGAGCUGACCAGUACUAAUUGCCCGUGCGGCUUGACCCU